rnacentral:rRNA from 1 species
AGCAGCCGCGGUAAUUCCAGCUCCAAUAGCGUAUAUUAAAGUUGUUGCAGUUAAAAAGCUCGUAGUUGAAUUUCGGGAUCAGUACGCUGGUCGUGCCUUCGGUAUGUACUGGUGUUACUGGUUUCUACCUUCUGAAGAACCAUCAUGUCAUUAGUUUGGUGUGGCGGGGAAUCAGGACUGUUACUUUGAAAAAUUAGAGUGUUUAAAGCAGGCUCGCGCUUGAAUACAUUAGCAUGGAAUAAUGAAAUAGGACGUUUGAUCCUAUUUUGUUGGUUUCUAGGAUCGACGUAAUGAUUGAUAGGGAUAGUUGGGGGCAUUAGUAUUCAAUUGUCAGAGGUGAAAUUCUUGGAUUUAUUGAAGACUAACUACUGCGAAAGCAUUUGCCAAGGAUGUUUUCAUUAAUCAAGAACGAAAGUUAGGGGAUCGAAGACGAUCAGAUACCGUCGUAGUCUUAACCAUAAACUAUGCCGACUAGGGAUCGGAUGAUGUUAAUUUUAAUGACUCAUUC